GUUUGAUCAUGGCUCAGAACGUACGCUGGCGGCACGCCUAACACAUGCAAGUCGAACGCAGUAGCAAUACUGAGUGGCAAACGGGUGAGUAUAAUGUGGGAAUCUGCCUUUUGGUUCGGAAUAACACGAGGAAACUUGUGCUAAUACCGGAUAAGCCCUUACGGGGAAAGUUUUAAUGCCAAAAGAUGAGCCCGCACUUGAUUAGCUAGUUGGUAAGGUAAUGGCUUACCAAGGCAACGAUCAAUAGCUGUUCUUAGAGGAAGACCAGCCACAUUGGGACUGAGACACGGCCCAAACUCCUACGGGAGGCAGCAGUGGGGAAUCUUGCACAAUGGGGGAAACCCUGAUGCAGCGAUGCCGCGUGAGUGAAGAAGGCCCUUGGGUUGUAAAACUCUUUCGUCGGGGAAGAAAAUGACUGUACCCGAAUAAGAAGGUCCGGCUAACUUCGUGCCAGCAGCCGCGGUAAUACGAAGGGACCUAGCGUAGUUCGGAAUUACUGGGCUUAAAGAGUUCGUAGGUGGUUGAAAAAGUUAGUGGUGAAAUCCCAGAGCUUAACUCUGGAACUGCCAUUAAAACUUUUCAGCUAGAGUAUGAUAGAGGAAAGCAGAAUUUCUAGUGUAGAGGUGAAAUUCGUAGAUAUUAGAAAGAAUACCAAUUGCGAAGGCAGCUUUCUGGAUCAUUACUGACACUGAGGAACGAAAGCAUGGGUAGCGAAGAGGAUUAGAUACCCUCGUAGUCCAUGCCGUAAACGAUGUGUGUUAGACGUUGGAAAUUUAUUUUCAGUGUCGCAGCGAAAGCGAUAAACACACCGCCUGGGGAGUACGACCGCAAGGUUAAAACUCAAAUGAAUUGACGGGGACCCGCACAAGUAGUGGAGCAUGUGGUUUAAUUCGAAGAUACGCGCAGAACCUUACCAACACUUGACAUGUUCGUCGCGACUCUAAGAGAUUAGAGUUUUCGGUUCGGCCGGACGAAACACAGGUGCUGCAUGGCUGUCGUCAGCUCGUGUCGUGAGAUGUUGGGUUAAGUCCCGCAACGAGCGCAACCCUCACUUUUAGUUGCCAUCAUUAAGUUGGGCACUCUGAAAGAACUGCCAGUGAUAAGCUGGAGGAAGGUGGGGAUGACGUCAAGUCCUCAUGGCCCUUACGUGUUGGGCUACACACGUGCUACAAUGGUAUCUACAACAGGAAGCAAGACUGCGAAGUUAAGCAAAUCCCUAAAAGAUACCUCAGUUCGGAUUGCACUCUGCAACUCGAGUGCAUGAAGCUGGAAUUACUAGUAAUCGUGGAUCAGCGUGCCACGGUGAAUGCGUUCCCGGGUCUUGUACACACCGCCCGUCACACCAUGGGAGUUGGUUCUACCUUAAGGCAAGGUUUAAAACCCUUGACCACGGUAUAGUCAGCGACUGGGGUGAAGUCAUAACAAGGUAACCGUA
rnacentral:rRNA from 1 species